AGGAAUGUAUAGCAAUAGCUAGUUGCAUCAUUGUAAAUAUGAUGCAAGAUUGACUAUGUUGAAUAAAAUUCUAGGUAGAGUUAUGAUAAUGACAUUUUCUGCCUAUGUGUCUUGACCAAAUUACGUGCCAGCAGUCGCGGUAAUACGUAGAAGACUAGUGUUAUUCAUGUUUAAUCGGUUUAAAGGGUACCUAGACGGCAGAUCAAGCUUUUCCAACAGAAAAAAAAUAAAAAGGACUAAUUUGCUAGAGUUACUUACGAGGGGGUUUUAAAGUACUGCUGGUGUAGAGAUGAAAUUCUGUCAUACCUCUUUCGAAAGAAAAUAAUGGCACAGGUAUAGGCGAAGGCAUCCCCUUAUGGGAUAACUGAC
rnacentral:rRNA from 1 species